rnacentral:rRNA from 1 species
ACGCACGCUGGCGGCGUGCCUCAUACAUGCAAGUUGAGCGCUGAAGGUUGGUACUUGUACCCACUGGAUGAGCAGCGAACGGGUGAGUAACGCGUGGGGAAUCUGCCUUUGAGCGGGGGACAACAUUUGGAAACGAAUGCUAAUACCGCAUAAAAACUUUAAACACAAGUUUUAAGUUUGAAAGAUGCAAUUGCAUCACUCAAAGAUGAUCCCGCGUUGUAUUAGCUAGUUGGUGAGGUAAAGGCUCACCAAGGCGAUGAUACAUAGCCGACCUGAGAGGGUGAUCGGCCACAUUGGGACUGAGACACGGCCCAAACUCCUACGGGAGGCAGCAGUAGGGAAUCUUCGGCAAUGGACGAAAGUCUGACCGAGCAACGCCGCGUGAGUGAAGAAGGUUUUCGGAUCGUAAAACUCUGUUGGUAGAGAAGAACGUUGGUGAGAGUGGAAAGCUCAUCAAGUGACGGUAACUACACAGAAAGGGACGGCUAACUACGUG